rnacentral:rRNA from 1 species
GACAGAGGGUGCAAACGUUGUUCGGAAUUACUGGGCGUAAAGGGCGCGUAGGCGGCCAUUCAAGUCAGGGGUGAAAGCCUGUGGCUCAACCACAGAAUUGCCUUUGAUACUGUUUGGCUAGAGACCGGAAGAGGUAAGUGGAACUGCGAGUGUAGAGGUGAAAUUCGUAGAUAUUCGCAAGAACACCAGUGGCGAAGGCGGCUUACUGGUCCGGUUCUGACGCUGAGGCGCGAAAGCGUGGGGAGCAAACAGG